rnacentral:misc_RNA from 1 species
AGCAGCCGCGGUAAUUCCAGCUCCAAUAGCGUAUAUUAAAGUUGUUGCAGUUAAAAAGCUCGUAGUUGAAUUUCGGGAUCAGUACGCUGGUCAUGCCUUUGGUAUGCACUGGUGUCACUGGUUUCUCCCUUCUGAAGAUCCGUGAUGUCAUUAAUUUGGUGUCGCGGGGAAUCAGGACUGUUACUUUGAAAAAAUUAGAGUGUUUAAAGCAGGCUCACGCUUGAAUACAUUAGCAUGGAAUAAUGAAAUAGGACGUUUGACCCUAUUUUGUUGGUUUCUAGGAUCGACGUAAUGAUUAAUAGGGAUAAGUUGG